CAGAGACUGCAAGCGUUAUUCGGAUUCACUGGGCGUAAAGGGUGCGCAGGCGGCCGGGUGUGUGAGGCGUGAAAGCCCGAUGCUUAACAUCGGAAUUGCACCUCAAACUACACGGCUAGAGCAUUGGAGAGGGUAGCAGAAUUCAUGGUGUAGCAGUGAAAUGCGUAGAUAUCAUGAGGAAUACCAGAGGCGAAGGCGGCUACCUGGACAAUUGCUGACGCUCAGGCACGAAAGCGUGGGGAGCAAAAGGGAUUAGAUACCCCUGUAGUCCACGCCCUAAACGGUGCACACUAGGUCUUGGCGGAUUCGACCCCCCCAGGGCCCAAGCUAACGCGUUAAGUGUGCCGCCUGAGGACUACGGCCGCAAGGCUA
rnacentral:rRNA from 1 species